GUUGUCAUGGUGAGAGGUCAGAACAGUGGUCAGUAGGUUUAGUUGUCAUGGUGAGAGGUCAGAACAGUGGUCAGUAGGUUUAGUUGUCAUGGUGAGAGGUCAGAACAGUGGUCAGUAGGUUUAGUUGUCAUGCUGAGAGGUCAGAGCAGUGGUCAGUAGGUUUAGUUGUCAUGCUGAGAGGUCAGAGCAGCGGUCAGUAGGCUUAGUUGUCAGUAGGUGAGAGGUCAGAGCAGCGGUCAGUAGGCUUAGUUGUCAGUAGGUGAGAGGUCAGAGCAGCGGUCAGUAGGCUUAGUUGUCAGUGGGUGUGAGGUCAGAGCAUUGGUCAGGAGGUUUAGUUGUCAGUGGGUGAGAGGUCAGAACAGUGGUCAGUAGGUUUAGUUGUCAUGGUGAGAGGUCAGAACAGAGGUCAGUAGGUUUAGUUGUCAUGGUGAGAGGUCAGAACAGUGGUCAGUAGGUUUAGUUGUCAUGGUGAGAGGUCAGAACAGUGGUCAGUAGGUUUAGUUGUCAUGCUGAGAGGUCAGAGCAGCGGUCAGUAGGCUUAGUUGUCAGUAGGUGAGAGGUCAGAGCAGCGGUCAGUAGGCUUAGUUGUCAGUAGGUGAGAGGUCAGAGCAGUGGUCAGUAGGCUUAGUUGUCAGUGGGUGAGAGGUCAGAGCAUUGGUCAGGAGGUUUAGUUGUCAGUAGGUGAGAGGUCAGAGCAGUGGUCAGUAGGGAUAGUUGUCAGUAGGUGAGAGGUCAGAGCAGUGGUCAGUAGGGAUAGUUGUCAGUAGGUGAGAGGUCAGAGCAGUGGUCAGUAGGGCUAGUUGUCAGUAGGUGAAAUAUCCUGAAGAACAGGACGAUCAUAUGCAUGCAAUUAUCUGGCCCGGCCUGUGUCGUCUGGCUUGAAGAAUGGAGGGAGUCUUGCAUUGGGAUCCAUCCCGGC
ensembl:lncRNA